rnacentral:rRNA from 1 species
CGCUAUCACUCCUACGGGGAGGCAGCAGUAGGGAAUCUUCCACAAUGGGCGCAAGCCUGAUGGAGCAACACCGCGUGAGUGAAGAAGGGUUUCGGCUCGUAAAGCUCUGUUGUUAAAGAAGAACACGUAUGAGAGUAACUGUUCAUACGUUGACGGUAUUUAACCAGAAAGUCGCGGCUAACUACGUGCCAGCAGCCGCGGUAAUACGUAGGUGGCAAGCGUUAUCCGGAUUUAUUGGGCGUAAAGAGAGUGCAGGCGGUUUUCUAAGUCUGAUGUGAAAGCCUUCGGCUUAACCGGAGAAGUGCAUCGGAAACUGGAUAACUUGAGUGCAGAAGAGGGUAGUGGAACUCCAUGUGUAGCGGUGGAAUGCGUAGAUAUAUGGAAGAACACCAGUGGCGAAGGCGGCUACCUGGUCUGCAACUGACGCUGAGACUCGAAAGCAUGGGUAGCGAACAGGAUUAGAUACCCUGGUAG